CCCGUGGUCCCGGGCCCACAGAUUCCCCGCGACCCCUACCCACCAAGAACAUCAUCCAAGCGCCCGGACCCCACCGAGGUGCACGCCAGCCACAGCCACCUCCAAGGGCUGCCAUUAUGAAGGUCAGAUCAGCUAACCCUGGUGCAGCGCCCAACAGGGAGCCUGGUCCCAGCCACAGCGAGUCCCUGGGAAAGAGCCUGAUAGCCUCGUUUACUGCAACAUUUCUUGGGCACUCACACCACCCUUUGUCCCGUGCUAGGGACAUGAAGAUAAAACAGACACAGUUAUCUGCUCCCACCCCAGCAACUGACGGGAACAUGAAAUGAGUAAAUGAAUAAAGGCUUGUCAACACGC